rnacentral:ncRNA from 21 species
AGUUCUGAUGCACCGCGAAACGAAAUUUGCAGGUGGAGAACGAGGAGACAUUCGAGGCACAGAGUGCCCGAUCGAAAGCGCUGUUGGAUUCGUUCCAACAGCGCUUUUUA